UACGAAGGGUGCAAGCGUUAAUCGGAAUUACUGGGCGUAAAGGGUGCGUAGGCGGUUGUUUAAGUCUGUCGUGAAAUCCCCGGGCUCAACCUGGGAAUGGCGAUGGAUACUGGGCAGCUAGAGUGUGUCAGAGGAUGGUGGAAUUCCCGGUGUAGCGGUGAAAUGCGUAGAGAUCGGGAGGAACAUCAGUGGCGAAGGCGGCCAUCUGGGACAACACUGACGCUGAAGCACGAAAGCGUGGGGAGUAAACAGG
rnacentral:rRNA from 1 species